CUAUGUGUUGUUGGGUAGGGGAGCGUUCUGUAAGCCUGUGAAGGUGUACUGUGAGGUAUGCUGGAGGUAUCAGAAGUGCGAAUGCUGACAUAAGUAACGAUAAAGCGGGUGAAAAGCCCGCUCGCCGGAAGACCAAGGGUUCCUGUCCAACGUUAAUCGGGGCAGGGUGAGUCGACCCCUAAGGCGAGGCCGAAAGGCGUAGUCGAUGGGAAACAGGUUAAUAUUCCUGUACUUGGUGUUACUGCGAAGGGGGGACGGAGAAGGCUAUGUUGGCCGGGCGACGGUUGUCCCGGUUUAAGCGUGUAGGCUGGUUUUCCAGGCAAAUCCGGAAAAUCAAGGCUGAGGCGUGAUGACGAGGCACUACGGUGCUGAAGCAACAAAUGCCCUGCUUCCAGGAAAAGCCUCUAAGCAUCAGGUAACAUCAAAUCGUACCCCAAACCGACACAGGUGGUCAGGUAGAGAAUACCAAGGCGCUUGAGAGAACUCGGGUGAAGGAACUAGGCAAAAUGGUGCCGUAACUUCGGGAGAA
rnacentral:rRNA from 1 species